UACGGGGGGGGCAAGCGUUGUUCGGAAUUACUGGGCGUAAAGGGCUCGUAGGCGGCCAACUAAGUCAGACGUGAAAUCCCUCGGCUUAACCGGGGAACUGCGUCUGAUACUGGAUGGCUUGAGUUUGGGAGAGGGAUGCGGAAUUCCAGGUGUAGCGGUGAAAUGCGUAGAUAUCUGGAGGAACACCGGUGGCGAAGGCGGCAUCCUGGACCAACACUGACACUGAGGCACGAAAGCGUGGGGAGCAAACAGGG
rnacentral:rRNA from 1 species